rnacentral:tRNA from 1 species
GCGGGUGGUAGGUAAGGUAUCUUGCAGGUCUCAUAAACCUGAGAACUAAGUUCAAUUCUUAGACUCCGCA